rnacentral:rRNA from 1 species
GGUGAACGCUGGCGGCGUGCCUAAUACAUGCAAGUCGAACGAAGCUUUUUUAACUGGUGCUUGCACCGACUUAAACAACUGAGUGGCGAACGGGUGAGUAACACGUGGGUAACCUGCCCCAAAGCGGGGGAUAACAUUUGGAAACAGAUGCUAAUACCGCAUAACCACAGAAACCACAUGGUUUCUGUGUCAAAGAUGGUUUCGGCUAUCACUUUGGGAUGGACCCGCGGCGUAUUAGCUAGUUGGUAAGGUAAUGGCUUACCAAGGCAAUGAUACGUAGCCGAACUGAGAGGUUGAUCGGCCACAUUGGGACUGGGACACGGCCCAAACUCCUACGGGAGGCAGCAGUAGGGAAUCUUCCACAAUGGACGAAAGUCUGAUGGAGCAACGCCGCGUGAGUGAAGAAGGUUUUCGGAUCGUAAAACUCUGUUGUCAGAGAAGAACGUGUGCGAGAGUAACUGUUCGUGCAGUGACGGUAUCUGGCCAGAAAGCCACGGCUAACUACGUGCCAGCAGCCGCGGUAA